rnacentral:tmRNA from 1 species
GGGGAUGUUCUGGUUUUGACAGCACCGAUUCCGGGUAGUAAGCACGUCGGGUGUAGUGGGCUGACCCGUUAAUCCCAGCUCUCAAGCCAUAACUGGCAACUACAACUAUUCAUACGCUUGCUAAUCUCCAAGAGCUCUGGCAUCAAUCAGAGCCGCCAAGGCUGCGGCACUGACGUAUAUCCCACCAGCUUUAGGCCGGUUCAGUCUGGAUAAUGGGGUAUCAUAAAAACCGGAUGCGCGGUCCCGACGCCUCUACGGACCGUUAAGACCUCAGAGGAUAAGCUGACUCUGGCCCGUCUUCCGGCAGGAAUCAGCCGACAAACAAAGGAAGAAUAAGCGUGUAGAAAGCUAUUUGGUACGUUGUUUGGACGGCGGUUCGACUCCGCCCAUCUCCACAA